rnacentral:siRNA from 1 species
CCUACCAUGGUGGUAACGGGUGAC